UGGCACGAGGAAAGAGAGGGGGAACUCGUACAGCUUGCUUUGCUCCCUACGUCUUAUAGGGUUUUAUUCUUUCUUCUCAUUUACUCUUUUUCAUACACUCUUUUGCCUAACUUCUUUUUCUCUGUUUUUGAGAUCCGUGUUGUUUUUUCCUCUUUAGCUUCUUUCCAAGCUUCCGUUUGUAAGAACUGGAAACAGUUACAGUUAUGGCUCUAACUAUUGAGACUCCAACCAAGUCUUCUGCCAGUAACUCUCACUAACUCUUCACAUGCUCCUUUGAAUGAAAGGAUUCUUUCAUCGUUAACCCAGAGGGCUGUUGCUGCUCAUCCAUGGCAUGAUCUCGAGAUCGGACCUGGAGCUCCAAUUACUUUCAAUUGCGUAAGUAUAUACGGCUUGAAAUUUGAAUGUUUCAUAGUUCGUAAUCAUAUCGUAAAUUAUGGAAAAUGUAGGCAU